AGGAUGAACGCUGGCGGUCUGCUUAACACAUGCAAGUCGAACGGAGUAGCAAUACUUAGUGGCGGACGGGUGAGUAACGCGUGAGAAUCUACCUUCAGGACGGAGACAACAGUUGGAAACGACUGCUAACCCCCGAUGUACUGAAAAGGCAAAUAUUUAUAGCCUGAAGAAGAGCUCGCGUCCGAUUAGCUAGUUGGAGAGGUAAAAGCUCACCAAGGCGACGAUCGGUAGCUGGUCUGAGAGGACGAUCAGCCACACUGGGACUGAGACACGGCCCAGACUCCUACGGGAGGCAGCAGUGGGGAAUUUUCCGCAAUGGGCGAAAGCCUGACGGAGCAAGGCCGCGGUGGGGGAAGAAGGCUCGUUGGGUUCGUAAACCCCUUUUCUCUGGGAAGAACGCAAUGACGGUACCAGAGGAAUCAGCAGUCGGCUACUCCGUGCCAGCAGCCGC
rnacentral:rRNA from 1 species